CCUGGGCUUGACAUGUACGUAGUAGUGAAGGGAAACCGGAACGAGCCUUCGGGCAGCGUAGACAGGUGCUGCAUGGCUGUCGUCAGCUCGUGUCGUGAGAUGUUGGGUUAAGUCCCGCAACGAGCGCAACCCGUGUUGCUAGUUACAAGUGUCUAGCGAGACUGCCGGUAACAAGCCAGAGGAAGGUGCGGAUGAUGUCAAGUCAGCAUGGCCUAUAUGUCCAGGGCUACACACACGCUACAAUGGCUGGUACAAAGAGAAGCGAAAGGGAGACCUGAAGCGAAUCUCAUCAAAGCCAGUCAUAGUUCGGGUUGCAGGCUGCAACUCGCCUGCAUGAAGUCGGAGUUGCUAGUAACCGCAGGUCAGCAAUACUGCGGUGAAUGCGUUCCCGGGCCUUGUACACAC
rnacentral:rRNA from 1 species